AACCGUGGAGGGCGCAAAGGGCUUGCAACUCUUUCUAUCUUUCCCAUGCUUGGUAUAAGGUUUCACUAUCAUUUUGGGUAAAUGAAGAGAUUUGCUUCUUAAGGGU
rnacentral:snoRNA from 1 species